rnacentral:tRNA from 1 species
GCCCGGAUGGCGGAAUUGGCAGACGCGCCGCGUUGAGGUCGCGGUGGAGGUAAAACUCCUUGCAGGUUCGACUCCUGUUCCGGGCA